GUACGGAAGGCAGCAGUGGGGAAUAUUGGACAAUGGGCGAAAGCCUGAUCCAGCAAUGCCGCGUGAGUGAUGAAGGCCUUAGGGUUGUAAAGCUCUUUUACCCGGGAUGAUAAUGACAGUACCGGGAGAAUAAGCCCCGGCUAACUCCGUGCCAGCAGCCGCGGUAAUACGGAGGGGGCUAGCGUUGUUCGGAAUUACUGGGCGUAAAGCGCACGUAGGCGGCUUUGUAAGUUAGAGGUGAAAGCCCGGGGCUCAACUCCGGAAUUGCCUUUAAGACUGCAUCGCUAGAAUUGUGGAGAGGUAAGUGGAAUUCCGAGUGUAGAGGUGAAAUUCGUAGAUAUUCGGAAGAACACCAGUGGCGAAGGCGACUUACUGGACACAUAUUGACGCUGAGGUGCGAAAGCGUGGGGAGCAAACAGGAUUAGAUACCCUAGUAGUCC
rnacentral:rRNA from 1 species